CUUUCUCUGCCUCUGUGGUGGAUAGUGUAGUGUUUCCCAUGUGGUAUUGGUGUGCUGGAUACCCCUUCACUGGUAGCCUGGUAACAUACACUCCCAGGUCUUUCUCUGCCUCUGUGGUGGAUAGUGUAGUGUUUCCCAUGUGGUAUUGGUGUGCUGGAUAUCCCUUCACUGGUAGCCUGGUAACAUACACUCCCAGGUCUUUCUCUGCCUCUGUGGUGGAUAGUGGAGUGUUUCCCAUGUGGUAUUGGUGUGCUGGAUAUCCCUUCACUGGUAGCCUGGUAACAUACACUCCCAGGUCUUUCUCUGCCUCUGUGGUGGAUAGUGGAGUGUUUCCCAUGUGGUAUUGGUGUGCUGGAUAUCCCUUCACUGGUAGCCUGGUCACAUACACUCCCAGGUCUUUCUCUGCCUCUGUGGUGGAUAGUGGAGUGUUUCCCAUGUGGUAAUGGUGUGCUGGAUAUCCCUUCACUGGUAGCCUGGUAACAUACACUCCCAGGUCUUUCUCUGCCUCUGUGGUGGAUAGUGGAGUGUUUCCCAUGAGGUAUUGGUGUGCUGGAUAUCCCUUCACUGGUAGCCUGGUAACAUACACUCCCAGGUCUUUCUCUGCCUCUGUGGUGGAUAGUGGAGUGUUUCCCAUGUGGUAUUGGUGUGCUGGAUAUCCCUUCACUGGUAGCCUGGUAACAUACACUCCCAGGUCUUUCUCUGCCUCUGUGGUGGAUAGUGGAGUGUUUCCCAAGUGGUAUUGGUGUGCUGGAUAUCCUUUCACUGGUAGCCUGGUAACAUACAC